GGUAUAAGUAAUACAAAAUAAUGAUUGUAAAAAAAAAUUACAUUGUUCUAUAUGUAGGAUGGCAGUGAUGCGUUCUCUAUUGCCAUGGAGACCGGGAAUAAAGAUAUCGGUGUCUUGUUGUAUGCCCAUCUCAAUUUCAAGUCUCCUACUUCGAGUAAACUGAAGAAAAGAUCGACAAGGAGUGAUUCUGAUUAGCCACAGGUUGGUAGUAGCACGCCCUCUAUUGGUGUUGAUCCUUUAAUAUCGAGCAUUUCCAUCCCUAAUCCGGUUGCAUGCAUUAAUAUAUACUGGCCGACCCAAAUAUAUUGAAUGAUAAUAACUACAGUUAUGAUUAACCUGGAUAUUCUAAUGAAGUAAACACCUGGUACCUAGGUUAUGCAAAUUAGGCAUGUGCCACAUGAAUAAUGUUAACAGUAACAUAGUGGUACAUUCAAAUUGAAACUAAAAAAAAAUGACCAGAAAUAUUAAAAAAAAGGUUUUAUAUCUAAAAAAAAUGUAUAUAAUACUUAGAACAAUAGUAGUUAUGAAAUAUAUUGUGAGAACAUUUUCAAAAACAUAAAGAAUAUAUUAAAUUAUUUAAUAACUAUAGUACUGAAAUUAAUAAAUAGAAAAUUUACAUAUCUGCACUAAUGUAUUUUAUGCUAACUGUACUUAUAAAUGCUUAUUCCUUAAUAACGUUUAUACUAAUACACAUACAAAUUCAAUAUCUUGGCUUGAAAUAAUAUCAUAAUUAGCAUUCAUCCAUAAUAUAAUUCAUGAUUUUGGUUAUGGAUUCAUCAAAUAUUCUAAUUUAAAUAGCAUAUUAACAAAACUAAUGCAAUGGUGUGGGUUACAUUAUGCUUUUUAAUUUUAAAAAGUGUGAACAAUUUAAGAGGUGUGAGCAAUAAAAAAUCCUUUAUUAUUGAGAUGAUUUGCAUCAAUUAAAGCAGCAUAUAUAUAAAAUUCAUUUUACCAAAUUUAUUAAAAUUUUUUAAUUAAUAAGUCAGCAUGUAUUCAUUUAUCUAUUAUAUCCAUUUAUAUAUCUAUAGUAUUUUUUUUUUUAUAUUAAAAACUACAUUAAAUAACUAGGCUGAGAAUUUUAUUAAUUUCUAAUUAAAUUUAAUAACAUUUUUAAUUAUAUACUCUAAUAUAAUUAACUAGUCUGUUUUAAUUAAUCUAUACCAUAUAAGUAGCAUGUGUCUAUUUGUAUAUUUAUAGUAUCUCAUAUUUUUAAUUAAAAAGUAUAUUAAAUAACUAUGGAGAAGCGUGUAGAGAAUUCUAUUUUAAUAAAUAACUAAAAAUUACAGCAUUAUUUGAUAAGAAAUUAAGACAUCUGACAGUGUCAAGUUUGUUGUUGCCAUAAGAAUAUAUAAUGUAUUUAUUCUCUUUUGUGGCAUUACAUUUCCCACUGCUUUGUUCCAUGUACCUUAAGCUAGCAAAUAUGAGUUUGUUGUUGUACUGUAUUCAUCCUUGUGAAGGUUAAAGGUUAAAACUGAUAACUUGCAACGUAAAUUUACUAAAUAUGGGUGUGGUCCGCGAGGCUUAGUAGCUUUAUGUUCACCCAUUCUGCAACAUUAGUCAAAGUGUGGCCCAACAAUUUUUUUGUGGCCGCGAAAAUAUAUUAAAAACCCUAUGGGGGACGGCAUACCAUCUACUGAGUGGCCAUCUGUAAAAGGUAAUGUUAAAAUGUAACAUAAAUUGGGAAAAUGCAGUACUUAAAGGUUUUUACAAGCGCUAUGGAAAAGAAAAAUUUCCACCUUAAAACGUCAUAUGUUGGCGUGCGACCCUCAUCUUUAAACAAAAUUGCUUUAGCCCGCCAGCCUAUUUUUAUGGCUAACACUAGUACUGUAUUAUAGAUUCAAGGACACAAACAUCUCCAUGGUGCACACACAGGGUAUGCCGCGAGUUUUAACAAAUGCGUUAUACUGCUGUUUUAUUCUCCUUAUUGGGCAUUUCACUCUUGUUCAUUGUGGAAGAAUUUUCUGGCAAUUAUUAAUUCUCUGCCAAUUUAAUUUUCAAUGUUUAACUUGUCAAAUCUAUCCCUACUCCUUAGCUUAGUUUGUGCAAAUAUCCAUAUAAUUUUGGAGAAUUUUCAUAAUUUUCAUUGCUCUUAUAACAUAAAUAGUAAUUCUUUAAUUCUUUCAUAUCAUAGGAUCAAAGGAAGAUUUAUUAUAAUAUUAUUUAUUUAUUUUGAACCAUAUGAGUGUGAACCAUCCAGCAGAAGCUAAUCAUUUGGGACCCUCAAAGAAGAAUAAACAGUGGUGGCGCCACAGGGUGAAUUUACCCCUAGACAAUUUUCUUUCC
rnacentral:lncRNA from 1 species